CUUCUGACAUGAAGUCAGAAAGAGGAUCGUCUACUUCCAGGGUGCGGUUGACCACAGAAAGUGAAACCAUGGAUAAAGGGGGACUACGGCACUACAAAUAAGUUGCAGAGCUACAGUUUCUAGUGACCAGGAUGAAACCCACUGGGACAGCCCUGUCACUUUGGAGCCUGCAGACAGGAUCCUGGGAAAACUAACAGAAGCCAGCAAAAGGCAUCAAAGCUGAACAUGAUGGUCAUGCUGUUCCAUGCAGCCCUGAAAGACAAACAAAAGAACAAACACACCCCAACGACUUACAACCUGGAGCCAAGGGAGCUCUCCAUGUUGCACGAUGCCUCUAUGAUCCUCCCCUUAAAUAUAAAAGCCGCUUUCUUCAGUAACUGAAAACAAUCAUAACUGUC